rnacentral:tRNA from 1 species
GCGCCCGUAGCUCAGCGGUGGAGCAGCCGGCUCAUAACCGGCGGGCCGCAGGUUCGAAUCCUGCCGGGCGCACCA